ACGCGAAACCGCCCCAAAGGGGCGGUCGCGGCGGCGUGGUUGCCGCCGCCUGACGAGCAGCCAAAA
rnacentral:hammerhead_ribozyme from 1 species